rnacentral:lncRNA from 1 species
AAACGUUUGCAGACAGAUGCGAGACUCCCCAGCCUCUGUGCUCUCUCCGGGCUCUGCAUGAGGCGACUUGAGCCGCUUCCCGGAACAGGCCAGGACACAGGGAUGAUGUUCUGCGGGUGAGGCUGCGCUGUGCCAGGCUAGGCCCUGGACACAUCUGGAUGCUUAACCCC